GAGUGGUGAUCGUGAUUAUUGGGUCUAAAGGGUCCGUAGCCGGUUUGGUCAGUCCUCCGGGAAAUCUGAUAGCUCAACUAUUAGGCUUUCGGGGGAUACUGCCAGACUUGGAACCGGGAGAGGUAAGAGGUACUACAGGGGUAGGAGUGAAAUCUUGUAAUCCCUGUGGGACCACCUGUGGCGAAGGCGUCUUACCAGAACGGGUUCGACGGUGAGGGACGAAAGCUGGGGGCACGAACCGGAUUAGAUACCCGGGUAGUCCCAGCCGUAAACGAUGCUCGCUAGGUGUCAGGCAUGGCGCGACCGUGUCUGGUGCCGCAGGGAAGCCGUGAAGCGAGCCACCUGGGAAGUACGGCCGCAAGGCUGAAACUUAAAGGAAUUGGCGGGGGAGCACAACAACGGGUGGAGCCUGCGGUUUAAUUGGACUCAACGCCGGACAACUCACCGGGGGCGACAGCAAUAUGUAGGCCAAGCUGAAGACUUUGCCUGAAUCGCUGAGAGGAGGUGCAUGGCCGUCGCCAGUUCGUACUGUGAAGCAUCCUGUUAAGUCAGGCAACGAGCGAGACCCGUGCCCACUGUUACCAGCAUGUCCUCCGGGACGAUGGGUACUCUGUGGGGACCGCCGAUGUUAAAUCGGAGGAAGGUGCGGGCCACGGUAGGUCAGUAUGCCCCGAAUCUCCCGGGCUACACGCGGGCUACAAUGGAUGGGACAAUGGGUCCCUCCCCUGAAAAGGGCUGGUAAUCUCACAAACCCAUUCGUAGUUCGGAUCGAGGGCUGUAACUCGCCCUCGUGAAGCUGGAAUCCGUAGUAAUCG
rnacentral:rRNA from 1 species